GCCCCCGUAGCUCAGCGGAUAGAGCAGCCGCCUUCUAAGCGGUUGGUCGCAGGUUCGAUCCCUGCCGGGGGCGC
rnacentral:tRNA from 2 species